AUGGCUGUUCGCCAUUUAAAGUGGUACGCGAGCUGGGUUCAGAACGUCGUGAGACAGUUCGGUCCCUAUCUGCCAUGGGCGUUGGAGAUUUGAGAGGGGCUGCUCCUAGUACGAGAGGACCGGAGUGGACGAACCUCUGGUGUUCCGGUUGUCACGCCAGUGGCAUUGCCGGGUAGCUAUGUUCGGAAGCGAUAACCGCUGAAAGCAUCUAAGCGGGAAGCGCGCCUCAAGAUGAGAUCUCCCGGGGCACAAGCCCCCUGAAGGAACCAUGUAGACUACGUGGUUGAUAGGUCAGGUGUGUAAGUACAGCAAUGUAUUGAGCUAACUGAUACUAAUGAUCCGUGCGGCUUGACCAUAUAACCUCA
rnacentral:rRNA from 1 species